rnacentral:rRNA from 1 species
AGAGUUUGAUCCUGGCUCAGGAUGAACGCUGGCGGCGUGCUUAACACAUGCAAGUCGAACGAGAGAGGAUCGGUGCUUGCACUGAUCCGAUCGAGUGGCGGACGGGUGAGUAACGCGUGGGUAACCUGCCUCAUACAGGGGAAUAACAGUUGGAAACGGCUGCUAAAACCGCAUAAGCGCACAGUAUCGCAUGAUACAGUGUGAAAAACUCCGGUGGUAUGAGAUGGACCCGCGUCUGAUUAGCUAGUUGGUGAGGUAACGGCCCACCAAGGCGACGAUCAGUAGCCGGCCUGAGAGGGUGAACGGCCACAUUGGGACUGAGACACGGCCCAAACUCCUACGGGAGGCAGCAGUGGGGAAUAUUGCACAAUGGGGGAAACCCUGAUGCAGCGACGCCGCGUGAGUGAUGAAGUAUUUCGGUAUGUAAAGCUCUAUCAGCAGGGAAGAUAAUGACGGUACCUGACUAAGAAGCACCGGCUAAAUACGUGCCAGCAGCCGCGGUAAUACGUAUGGUGCAAGCGUUAUCCGGAUUUACUGGGUGUAAAGGGUGCGUAGGUGGUGAGACAAGUCUGAAGUGAAAAUCCGGGGCUUAACCCCGGAACUGCUUUGGAAACUGCCUGACUAGAGUACAGGAGAGGUAAGUGGAAUUCCUAGUGUAGCGGUGAAAUGCGUAGAUAUUAGGAGGAACACCAGUGGCGAAGGCGACUUACUGGACUGCUACUGACACUGAGGCACGAAAGCGUGGGGAGCAAACAGGAUUAGAUACCCUGGUAGU